rnacentral:rRNA from 1 species
GAUUCGUCACACUAUCAUUAACUGAAUCCAUAGGUUAAUGAGGCGAACCGGGGGAACUGAAACAUCUAAGUACCCCGAGGAAAAGAAAUCAACCGAGAUUCCCCCAGUAGCGGCGAGCGAACGGGGAGGAGCCCAGAGCCUGAAUCAGCAUGUGUGUUAGUGGAAGCGUCUGGAAAGGCGCGCGAUACAGGGUGACAGCCCCGUACACAAAAGCGCAUGUGCUGUGAGCUCGAUGAGUAGGGCGGGACACGUGGUAUCCUGUCUGAAUAUGGGGGGACCAUCCUCCAAGGCUAAAUACUCCUGACUGACCGAUAGUGAACCAGUACCGUGAGGGAAAGGCGAAAAGAACCCCGGCGAGGGGAGUGAAAAAGAACCUGAAACCGUGUACGUACAAGCAGUGGGAGCACCCUUCGGGGUGUGACUGCGUACCUUUUGUAUAAUGGGUCAGCGACUUAUAUUCUGUAGCAAGGUUAACCGAAUAGGGGAGCCGGAGGGAAACCGAGUCUUAACCGGGCGUUAAGUUGCAGGGUAUAGACCCGAAACCCGGUGAUCUAGCCAUGGGCAGGUUGAAGGUUGGGUAACACUAACUGGAGGACCGAACCGACUAAUGUUGAAAAAUUAGCGGAUGACCUGUGGCUGGGGGUGAAAGGCCAAUCAAACCGGGAGAUAGCUGGUUCUCCCCGAAAGCUAUUUAGGUAGCGCCUCGUGAAUUCAUCUCCGGGGGUAGAGCACUGUUUCGGCUAGGGGGCCAUCCCGGCUUACCAACCCGAUGCAAACUGCGAAUACCGGAGAAUGUUAUCACGGGAGACACACGGCGGGUGCUAACGUCCGUCGUGAAGAGGGAAACAACCCAGACCGCCAGCUAAGGUCCCAAAGUCAUGGUUAAGUGGGAAACGAUGUGGGAAGGCCCAGACAGCCAGGAUGUUGGCUUAGAAGCAGCCAUCAUUUAAAGAAAGCGUAAUAGCUCACUGGUCGAGUCGGCCUGCGCGGAAGAUGUAACGGGGCUAAACCAU